UAGAUUAUGUGCAUCUUCAUAAUGUCUUGAUGUCCAUGCAUACUGAGUUUGAUGAAGAAUAUGGUUGAAUAUUUACUCCUCAGGACCCGUUAGAGACGGUGCGUGAGAAGUGUGAGCAGACGGAGCAUUGCGUUCACACUCGUGAGCGUCUCGAGGCGUGCGAGACACGGAUCGGCUCACGCUCGGAGACGACAGAGGAGUGUACAGAGGAGCUCUUUGACUUCCUGCACGCUCGUGACCACUGUGUGGCUCACAAGGUUUUCCAGUCGAUCAAAUAAACGGAGCAUCUCCGCGCUGGUUAUGAAUCGAUGUCUGCUUACAGAAAUCCAGUGCCCGGUUAUGUAUAUAAGCUUUGAUUUCUGUCCCAGAUUCAACAAUUCAUCGUAACCCAUAGGUUCUUCAAAUCAUGUGUGUUGCUGAAGUGUGAAUGACUGCUCUGUUUCCAUCUCUCGUUGAGAUCAGUAAAGAGGUGAUGUUGGCAUACAUUUGGGUUUAUUGCUAAUGCAACAAAUAACAAUAAAGAAGAAAAGACAA